GCGAGAAGCGCCGUCCGUGUGUGUGUCCCCACUACUUCGAUCUCUCGUUGCUCUCUGCUCGAUCUUGGAACUCUGGUUUCUAUCAGGAAACCACAAGGCAAGACACGUUGUAACCGGCUUGACGGAAACGAGAUAGACUAGUAUGUCUGUAUUCUUUUACGAGCCGAACGGCUGAGCGUACACGAACGGCGGUUCUUACUUGUGUGCUAUUCCCACCGCUCAGUGCUCUAGGUGCUGGCAUUGCUGGUCUUGCAUAAUCUUGUAACUCNGAUUUACGUCUCUUUGCACUACUAUAUACGUGCUACGGUUAUACACAUUCACCAAUUUAAAGAGUUACGUUCAAAAAUUUAAUAUUAUGUCCGCUAAAGAUGAAACUUGUGAACCACCUGUUAAACGAGCAAAAUACAAACUUUGGAAAGACAAUCCUAAUAUUUCGAUUCCUACAACUACUUUACAUCGAUGGAAAAAAAAUAAAGAGAAGUUUGAAAUGAUUAAUAUAAUAUCAGACAUCCUUAGAGAAGAAACAUCCUCAACUACUUUUGUUAAUAUUGAAGAUAGUACCGACAACAGUUCUGAAUAUAGCGAUAACAAUAUUGAAGAUAAAAUUGAAGAUGACUGUGAUAUUUUACAUGAGUUUAUAAAUAUUACAGAAGAUGACUAUGAGAUAAGUAAUUUAAACGAAAAUCUUCAACAAAAUUGUAUUUGUGAUAAUNAUAGUGACGAUAGUGAGAAUAGUAUUGAUAAUCCUUUCAGUAAAAUAAUUUCUGAUAAGAUAUAUGAUAAUAGUGAUAUAACUAUUGUUCUAAGUAUUUUAGUCGUCAUGAGAUAUUAU